UUAAUUGGAGGUUGAGGGAAUGGGUGGAAUGUCACCUCCUUACCUAUCUGCUGAGAUACAAUACAGGCAGGUUUUGGAUAAAGAUCUGAGAACCUCAAUCUCUUGGAAGCCCUCUGCAGCCAGACAAUGUCAGGCCUAUAACUUGCUUAUUUUGAGCUGGUCAUUGUGGUGGAUGAUUGUGUGAUGGUUACAGGAGUUCAGAAGAGUGAAACUGGGGUCAUCAUCACCUGUGCUGAACAUUGUGGAAAAGCCGCAUGUUUUCCCAGACUGAUGAGACGAAACAGUGGAGAGACCUGUGCAAGAGUUUAAUGUGUCUUGGUGGAUCAGACACUUCUGGAAACAUAGUGUCACAUUUGCAUUGUCUGAAACCACUGCUUUGUUUUACCUCAGUUACUUCUACCUUAGACUGAACUUGAAUUGAUGACACGAAUACUUUCUACAUGAGGCAACAGUGUCACCUCUUGAGAACUUGGGAGGUGAAGUCUACUUGGGAGCUCAUCUCAUAAAGUAGACUGGGAACUUACACAACUUGGACAUCUCUCUAUAUGUGAUGUAUCCUGUCCUCAUAGCAGAGGUAAGGUCAAGAAGCAUGAGUUAGGUGAGUGGACAGUGAGUUGGAUUGAGGACUGCUCCAAGUGAACCUGCUUAUGCAAAGGGUGCCUAGAUGAUCUCCAGAGAUAUCUUCA